AUAGAACAGCAAUGAAUGCCGGGAAAUAAAAGCGAUGCUGUCACUUUAUAGCAGCACUUGUGGCUUGUCACAUCUGGAGUGCAGACUGUGGAUUAUAUAUUGCAGUGCGACCGAAACAUGACAUCACUAAUCAAGUGUGCAAAGGCAGCCUGUCCUGCUUCAAUGGAGUGACUGCUGUGUGGGAGAGAUCAUUUUGCAAUAGCUUGAGGCACCCUGGUUAGAAAACACUCGUCUUUUGAGUGGAAUGCAGCUCAUUAUGGGGAACUAUUAAGUGCAUUUUUUGGAUUAGGCUUACCACUGAUCAGUGUUUUCCAUGAUCUACUUCUCCAAUCUACCAGAAGACAGACCAGAGGAGAAGAUUGCAGGAGCCGGCAAGGAGCUAGUUAGCAAAGCACAUGCAGCCAUCUUAACUCAUCUCACCCCUGCAAUCGACCUGUGGAUGGUCAGAUUAGUACCCCCGAACUUCGCUGAUACUUCAGAUGCCAUGAUCAGUAUUGAUCUCGGCAUUUGAAGGGUUAAUGGGGUACAUUAAGGGUAUCUCUGAAAUUCGUUAUUAUUCAUAAGGGCCCGGAUGUUGAUGCUCAUUACUGUCGGGAGACAAGGUGAUUGAGGAACCCUGUAACAUACACUUACAUUGCUGUGUCCUAAGUAUAAGAGCACAGUGAUGUACAUGUGUUGUGCGUGUCCUCUAAAUAAAUGCUUCUUUCCCCCAUUAUUUGUCUUCUUUUCAAGAAAUGAAGACUGCUAACAGAGUAAAAAACUGGGGAAAAGACUAUAUAUAUAAGUUACAUAUUGGCCAUGAUUAUUGUUACUCUUCAUUUCACUAGACAGCAUAUUCUAAAAGUUAAGUGUAGGUACUCAUGUAUGUACUUACAGCAAUGUAGUUGAUAU